rnacentral:rRNA from 1 species
UACGUAGGGUGCGAGCGUUGUCCGGAAUUACUGGGCGUAAAGAGCUCGUAGGUGGUUUGUCGCGUUGUUCGUGAAAACUCACAGCUUAACUGUGGGCGUGCGGGCGAUACGGGCAGACUGGAGUACUGCAGGGGAGACUGGAAUUCCUGGUGUAGCGGUGGAAUGCGCAGAUAUCAGGAGGAACACCGGUGGCGAAGGCGGGUCUCUGGGCAUGUCCUGACGCUGAGGAGCGAAAGUGUGGGGAGCGAACAGG